GAAAGCAGUUGCGGAUGUAUUUCCUAACGCAUCGAAGAAAAUAGAGAGCAUCAUCAAGAAUAUUGCAAAUUACCAAGCCCCUGGGAGAUAUGUGCUCAAACCAGGUCUGGAGGUAGAAAACUCUAAAAGGCAUACAUCUGAAGAGGGAAGAUCCAUCAAUGAGAACGUUGAGGAAUUUCCUCCAAGCUUAAAGAUUGAUGAUCCCUGAUAUAUUUGAGAGUAUUGAUGUUGUGGACUCCCCAGCUGCUACUGCAGGAGAUG